CUAAAGGCUCUUCUAAGAGCCACCACAAUACAUGGAAGAGCUGUG
rfam:Tauraco erythrolophus contig17259, whole genome shotgun sequence.